GAAAUGCGAUAGUUAAUGUGAAUUGCAGAAUUCAGUGAAUCAUCGAGUCUUUGAACGCACAUUGCGCCCAUUGGUAUUCCUUUGGGCAUGUCUGUUUGAGCGUCAUUACAACCCCUCAGCUAACGCUGGUUCUGAACUGGGAUGGGUUGACACCCGCACCGGUUUUAAAGUUGUAAGCUCUGCUGGCUGCUCUGCCCCAACCGGAACAUAGUAAGAAAAACUACUUGUUAAGGCGAGGCGACGCGGUACGGCCUGAAAAAAACCUACCCUUCUCUCAGGUUUGACCUCAGAUCAGACAAGGAUACCCGCUGAACUUAA
rnacentral:misc_RNA from 1 species